rnacentral:rRNA from 1 species
GACGAACGCUGGCGGCGUGCUUAACACAUGCAAGUCGAGCGGUAAGGCCCUUUCGGGGGUACACGAGCGGCGAACGGGUGAGUAACACGUGGGUGACCUGCCCUCAGCUCUGGGAUAAGCCUGGGAAACUGGGUCUAAUACUGGAUAUGACUCCACGGUGCAUGUCGUGGGGUGAAAGCCUUGUGCGGCUGAGGAUGGGCCCGCGGCCUAUCAGCUUGUUGGGGGGUGAU